AGCUCCAAUAGCGUAUAUUAAAGUUGUUGCAGUUAAAAAGCUCGUAGUUGGAUUUCGGGGCAGCCUGGCUGGUCCGCCGCAAGGCGAGUACUGGUCAGCCGCCCUUCCUCUCGAAAGCCCCGACUGCUCUUCAUUGCAGUGGUCGGGUAGUUCGGGACGUUUACUUUGAAAAAAUUAGAGUGUUCAAGGCAGGCUUUCGCCUGAAUACAUUAGCAUGGAAUAAUGGAAAAGGACCUCGGUCCUAUUUUGUUGGUUUCUAGGGCCGAAGUAAUGAUUAAGAGGGACAGUUGGGGGCAUUCGUAUUUAAUUGUCAGAGGUGAAAUUCUCGGAUUUAUGAAAGACGAACAACUGCGAAAGCAUUUGCCAAGGAUGUUUUCAUUAAUCAAGAACGAAAGUACGC
rnacentral:rRNA from 1 species